CACGGGGGUGCCGUAACGGCUGAGAUUAUACCCUAAACCUGAUUCGGAUAAUGCCGACGUAGGGAGCUGUAAACAUA
rnacentral:ncRNA from 1 species